rnacentral:snRNA from 1 species
AGCUUUGCACAGUGGCAGUAUUGUAGCCUAUGAGGUUAUCCGAGGCGCAAUUAUGCUAAUUGAAACAAUGGAUUGAACAAUGG